AUGUCCCAGCCGCGUUGCCCAGACGGCUUCGUUCUUCCCGACGCGGCUGUCUGCCAUGCGCACUGCUGCCACCCGGUGAAGCCUGCCUCCAUCAAUGGAGACGCCAAGGCGCCUGACAGCGUCGAGAUCCACCAGCAGUGGGGAAACGUGAAUGGUAGGGUGACGACCAAGGAGGAGGACGAGUAUUGCCGCUUCAAGUUCAACUCGGCGGAGGGUGAUGACUUGUACCUGGUUUUUUUGCCGUGGCCACUGCCCUGGCUCAGGGAGCUUAAUAAAGCUUGGACAGUGGUGAGGGAUCUGAUGGUGGUGAUGUUGUUGGGCUGGUUGUGGCCUCGUAUGUGGCAGCAACGGCCUCCCUCCUGUAACCUCUAUCGAUGGCCAUGGCAUGGUGAGCUCUCUGUUUCCUGGAUCCAAACCCCCUCCUUCAUUCAAUCUCUGAUUCCAACGUUCCCCCCUUUGCUCAAUUGUUCGAUCUGGGCCUGUAGGCGACCUCCACGGACGAGGAAAGGAGAGGAGGACAAGCAGUCCCUGACGCCAAGUACUCAGGGUCCCAACACAAGGACAAGCAGCGGCGACCACAUCUUCUUCCAUUCAGCCCAAGGACAAGCAGCAGCAGCGACCACAGCAGAUGCAGCCAUGCAGGGGAGGACGAUGACGCUAAACAGCAGUAGCAGCUCAAGGCGGUGGACACCCAUGGGUCUUGCUGCAUGUGGUGGGUUUUGGAGAACCAACUUGAGAUGCAGGAAGUGGGUUCUUGAGCUGUGCUCUGCUCGAGCAGGAGGGGUUUGCUCCUUUUCUCCUAGGGCGACCAAGAGCAGGUGCCGUCCUUCCAUGGACGAGGAGGACAAUGACCUGAACCUCGACGGUGAUGUUGUCAACCCCGCACAAGGUUGGGAUGAGAUGUGUGUUUGCAUGCUUGUGCUUAUGUGGUUGAUGAUCACAUAUGUAUUAGUGUUGCUGGUGUUGGUCAUGAAGUUUCUGUUAUCACUGAUGACACUCCCUUCAUGCUUGCUGACCUACACCUUGCUUGGUUGUUCUCACAGUGCUGAUGAGGCCAUGAUGCUUACCUUGCUGGAGCGCAUCAACCCCGACCAUGGCACCACAUUCACACUCUUGAGAACAUAUAUCUUGUUAUCUCAAUUCAUUCGUGCCGUGCUCAAUGAACCAUCUAAGAUUGAAUCAUUUUCUGCGUUCAACAUCUAG
rnacentral:rRNA from 1 species